CUGCUUUGAGGACAAAUAGAAUAAGGGCUUCAUGUUC
rfam:Fukomys damarensis contig104639, whole genome shotgun sequence.